GCUCCAUUAGCUCAGUUGGUUAGAGCGUCGUGCUUAUAACGCGAAGGUCGCGAGUUCAAGCCUCGCAUGGAGCA
rnacentral:tRNA from 1 species